rnacentral:rRNA from 1 species
CUGUUUCGGCUAGGGGGGCAUCCCGGCUUACCAACCCGAUGCAAACUGCGAAUACCGGAGAAUGUUAUCACGGGAGACACACGGCGGGUGCUAACGUCCGUCGUGAAGAGGGAAACAACCCAGACCGCCAGCUAAGGUCCCAAAGUCAUGGUUAAGUGGGAAACGAUGUGGGAAGGCCCAGACAGCCAGGAUGUUGGCUUAGAAGCAGCCAUCAUUUAAAGAAAGCGUAAUAGCUCACUGGUCGAGUCGGCCUGCGCGGAAGAUGUAACGGGGCUAAACCAUGCACCGAAGCUGCGGCAGCGAACGUAUCACCCAAGACAACUUUACGGAGUUGACGAUUGACGGAGCGAAGCGACGUCAAAGCGUUCAUUAAAGUCGAGUUGGCUUAGGGAUACGUUCGUUGGGUAGGGGAGCGUUCUGUAAGCCUGUGAAGGUGUGUCGUGAGGCAUGCUGGAGGUAUCAGAAGUGCGAAUGCUGACAUAAGUAACGAUAAAGCGGGUGAAAAGCCCGCUCGCCGGAAGACCAAGGGUUCCUGUCCAACGUUAAUCGGGGCAGGGUGAGUCGACCCCUAAGGCGAGGCCGAAAGGCGUAGUCGAUGGGAAACGGGUUAAUAUUCCCGUACUUGGUGUUACUGCGAAGGGGGGACGGAGAAGGCUAUGUUGGCCGGGCGACGGUUGUCCCGGUUUAAGCGUGUAGGUGUGUGUUCCAGGUAAAUCCGGUUCACUUUAACACUGAGGCGUGACGACGAGGCACUACGGUGCUGAAGCAACAAAUGCCCUGCUUCCAGGAAAAGCCUCUAAGCAUCAGGUAACACGAAAUCGUACCCCAAACCGACA